GCCGGGCUGCAGAUCAACACGCCAUUCAUAAUAUGGAUGUUUUUCUCGUUGCGGUGUUCAUAGAGCAAAUUACGUAUUUUCUAAAAGGUCUCUCAGAAUGUUUUACAGUUCCGUAGCGGUCCGUAUCAAAUUCGGCUCAAGUCUCAUCCACCAACAACCAGCGGAUUGAGCCAAAUCUGUUUUUUAGAGUCUGUCGUCCAAACACCCAGACGGCGCCGGCCGUGCUUUGUUAGAUGAAGUGUUUUUGUUUUUUUGUUAGAUGAAGUGUUUUUGUGUUUUUGUUAGAUGAAGUGUUUUUGUUUUUUUGUUAGAUGAAGUGUUUUUGGAGCAUCUUUCUUACUCGUUAAAAGGCACUGGCCGUGUGCUGCGAGUCGGCGUCAAACUGUGGGCCAGCCUCGGCAGGGUUCUGCACCGGGCUGCUAGCUAACGGCAGCUAGCGAGCAAGAGCCGAUUCCUGUGAAGGAAGCCGAGGAAAGCAUCAGCGGCACGGACAGGCUAGGCUAACGGACCGGCUAGCAGCUAGCAUAGCUGUGCCUGGAUCGUUGCAAACAGCAGCAGCUUGUAACGUAAGCUAAGCUAACGGGCUGCUUAGCCUACUGAGACCAAUCAAUUAGUCGUAAAGCUACAGCUAACGGGGCUCUUCAUCACGGGCAGCAGCGACUGAAUGACAGGCAGCCGUCAGGAUCUACAACCACAAGGGGAGGUGUUGAUCUCCAGGGUGUGCUGAGAUGACAGCAGGUGUGACACAUUGGGUGCGUUCGGCGUUCACGCCCAGCUGCAGGUUCGCUCCCCGUCACCAACAUCACCUGGACCAGCUUCUUCCUCGUCCGGCGCUCCAGCGUCACCGAGCAGAACGUUAGCGUCGCCACGGUGUCGCAGCUCCUCUACAAGAUGUGUGACAUCAUGACCGCCGCCUUCAGGAAGAUCAGCGAGCAGAACAUCCAGAGCGACGUGGGCCUCGUGCACGAGCUGUGGAAGCUGUUGUGUUCUUUACCCAAACCCCGAGGGACUGUAGAUCCUGGACCCUGCUCACCCUCAGAUCUCAGAAACCCUUCAUCACCCAGCAAGGCAUCAGGAGCCUGAGAGUAAAGUGGACAUCAUCCUGCUGCGGGCCGCCCUGAGCCGCCCCGAGCCGCCCCGGGCCGGAGGUCAGAGUGCUCAUCAAGUCCAACUGGACGAGCUCCCUGCUGGCCCAGAGGAUGGAGGUGGCGUCUCCCCCUGAAGGUUUUGGAGCCCAAACUGAGUCAAAUGGGUUUGUUACAUCAGAUGCAGCGGCAUCCACGAGACCCCGCCCCCACCCCCACCGCCACCGCCACCGCCGGGGCUGAUGGGACUGCAGCAGGACGGCAGCCUGAUGGAGCCUCUGUUUGCUCCUGUUGUCCCAUUUCAGGGGUUUUCUGUGUGUGUGUGUGUGUGUGUGUGUGUGUGUGUGUGUGUGUGUGUGUGUGUGUGUGUGUGUGUGUCCAGGACAGUGUUUUCAUGUUUACAUGUUGUUACAUGGUGCCUCCAGCAGGUGGCAGCACUCCAUGUUGAGAAUCUGUGAGUUUUCUUUGACUCUGUUCAUUCCUGUUCAGUGUUAAAACACAUGAAGAAGAAGAUGAUGAAAUCAUCAAAUCUAACCCAUCUGUUGAUCACGCUAACCAGUCAGGUGUGUGUGCGUGUGUGCGUGUGUGCGUGUGUGCGUGUGUGCGUGUGUGCGUGUGUGUGUGUGUGUGUGUGUGUGUGUGUGUGUGUGUGUGUCAUCUGAAAUGAGCAGCUUUCUGGUUUUUCAAUAAAAUCAAUACA